UAUAGGUUAAUAUAGGUAGAAUGAGUCUACCUAAUAAUUUCUCGUAAUAUAUACAGGCAGCCCCACCGUUUGAAAGAUCCCCCCCUCCCAUGCCUCCGUUGCUUAUUCCACUCAAAACAUGUCCAUCACCUUCCUUCUACUCCUCUUCUCCCUUUGGCAUUUCGGCUCUCCAGCCACUGCUCGACCACCAAACUGGGCCGUGCCACUAUCAUUCGACCAGCCGAAAACUUACAN
rnacentral:lncRNA from 1 species